GAUGUAAAUAUUCUUACACUGAUAAUUACUGGCGAAAGUCAUACAGCAUAACUUGUCGACAUUUAUCAAGAAAACUAAUUUACAUCUUACAAACGAUACAUGCCUGCAGUCAUUAACGAUUACCGUGUCAUUAUUCGUAAGAGAACAGUCCUGUGAUUUCGUGAUUUUCAUUUUUUUGAAAAGUAAAAAGUAAGAUAAGAGAAGAAAGAUGCUUUAUUCAACAUACCUGCCUAUAUUUGCUGUAUAUAUUCUUUGCAAUCUCGUUAUGAAUGUGAGCUCAGUCACAGAGGAGACAAGGGGUUCUAUUGUACCUAUUCGGUUGGAGGAGAAGAAUGGCAAAUUGGAUCUUACACUGGAUGUACGGCUAAAUAUAAAGGAAGAGAAGACUACCCCUUCUCCCGGACCAAACCUAGAGGGCAUCAAUCUUAAACUUCUCUGUACCUUUGUCAAACAUUUAUGUCAAAACCAGUAUGACAGCUGGGGAAAGAAAAGAUAGGAAACCGUUUUUGUUGCCUUGAAUGUUACUGUUGUUAUUAUGCAAUCGUCUAUAUGCACCAUUAAAUAUUAAGAUUA